GCCCGGAUGGUCUAGUGGUAUGAUUCUCGCUUGUAAGGCUACCGUAUUCGUACCAUCAAAUUUACCACAUACUAAUUCAUCAUCAGUGGGAUCACCAAUUCUAAGUGCGAGAGGCCCCGUGUUCGAACCACGGUUCGGGCC